CCCUCAAAUUGCAUUGAAGCCUUUUCCUGCUCUCUCUACCACGCGCCUAUUCUGAGCAAAAUUCAGCACACCUAUUCUGAGCAAGUCCCAUCCCAACCGGCUAUGCUACCAAACCCACCAUCUCAUCUCUUUGUGACUUCCUUCUUUAAGCCAGCAGGUCAGCUGCUACUCCUGCAGCCGCUUGAUUUGCUGAUCAUUCACAUGGCCUUUGUACUUCAGAGCAGGAGAAUUGGGUGCAGCCUCACGUGAUAGUUGUACUUCAAAGGAGUGAAAUGGGGAAUUUUUUUUUAGGUAUGCCAUUCUAUUCUGAUCAGCUUUGGUAUUCAAUUUUCCACCCAAAUUAUGCUUUCUAUUCAACCUUCAUCAUCGGUAUGAUUACGAUUACAAAUAUCUGCUUGGAUGUGAUUUUUCCCUUAUUCCAGUUCUGCUGAGAAGUAGGAUUCCUAUUCACUUAGCCUGUACCUUUUAUCUGUAUUUGCACGUCUCUUUCUCUAAUCACACUCUCAUUCUAACCUUCAUUCACUCUGGUUUUGGCUUUUUUCCCUCUUGAUUCGGUAUGUGCUAUUUCAUAUGGAAGUACAAUUUUUUGUUAUUUCCUUUUUGGUUUGAACAUUUGUUUUUUCUUCUUUUUAUUUCCUUACCAGGGUUUAGUGAAUCUAAAUUUUGUUCGAAUAUAGUGUUGAUUUUUUUGUUGGAUUUUCACAACAGAUGAAGAUCAGAAAUAGGUGAAUUUAUUUUGUUCUCAUUUUCGGCUGUGAUGAUACAAUAUUGUUGCCGUGAGUUGUGUUUCAGGCUUGAUACUAACUGGAUUUAAGCUGUAUCUUGGCGAGGCAACUCAGAUGGCAUUUUGGAGUAUAUAUUAUUCCAGAACUGCAACUGAGUUUGCAGCCAUGGUUGUGCUCUUCUUCUUCGCCUGCCAUUGACAAACAAAUUGGAGCUUUACUUUUAAUUGUCAAAGUUCAUUGUUUUUUUCAUUUAUUAGUCCAACGGUAGCUUAGUUUGUUCUUCCGAAAUUCUCGUACAAAUUCAGUUCUACUUCAAGUAUUAUUACUCCCUGUUUUGAUGCUUUCUUAUCACUUAUCUCAGGUAUGUUAUGAUCCCUUACAAUGAUUGCUUAUGUUAUAUUUGCUUCAUUAACUCAAAACAUGGUUUUAGUAUGACACUGCCUUCAAGUGAAUAUGUGAAAUCUCAUAGGCAUGGCUAUCAAAUGUUUGAUGAAAUGUCUGUCUGAAACUUGGGAUAAUUGGUUCUUAGGUUGAUUGCAAAUGCAACAAUAAAUCUAGAUGGUGUUUUUUGGAUCUCUUGAGAAGGUUCUUUAAACAAAAGAAUUGCUUCAUUUGUGUUUCUAUUGAUAUCUAAAACUAAUAAAUUAGCUUUAUUUUGAAUCAAAUGUUGGCCAUUUGAUGGAUUUUAGAGUAAUCUAAGUGGUUCAACAUUGUCACUCAACUUGCUGUCCAGAUUCUUCUUCUUCUCUGCAUUGAAUUCACUGGUAAGUUUCAAAACUUAUGUUAACUUAAAGGUCUUUUCCAAUUUUUUCCUAUUUUUUGAAAACUGAGUGUAGCGUAAAAUGAUUGUUUUUUGCUUCUUUUUUGGUGGCUUGAUAAUAUCAAACUCUUAAGAAAAAGUUCCGAGCUCAUUCAGGACCGCCAGCUCCCCAGGGCACUCCUUUUUUAUAUCUGAGAAGCACCCUCCGAUGUAGCAUUUUGGUGCUGUAGGAUAUGGGGUCACUGAAACAGGGAGGUUGUAGCCAUCCACUAUACUUACGUCGUAGAAACUCGGCUGCCUCUUGUCAACCUGCAACGUAAACUCUACUAGCGUCACAGGAGGAACGCCGAUCACCCCGGCGCAUUCGAGUCGCCCGUUGCAGUCGCCUGUUUCACAGGCUCGUCCGUCGUUGGAGUAGUCGAAAUUGCAGCCUGUUCUGGCCCAGAUGCGGCCACUCGAAUCUCCUGGUGCCUGGAAUUUCCGGAGUCUCCCGGAUGGAAGAUAGAAGCCACCGUUUGCUACGACUGGAAAGCCUUGGUUCGGGGCAGUGGCAGGCCAUAUGGGAAAUGGGCACUUGUUGCUCACGUAAAAUGUGCAUGCUUCCACAACUCCACUACUGCCUGAGGCAACAAAUUAAAACAAAUCUUGCAACCAUCAAUUGAGUAAUAGGUAUUUCUUGCUUCUUUUUAGCUGUUAGGUUAUUCAAAAAUGUUUUGUUUUAUUCUUGCUGCUAAUUGGAGAAAUAAGUGAGUCACAGAAGAGUAAUUUUUCUUA